rnacentral:misc_RNA from 1 species
GUUGAGGUUUGCAUGAUGAUGGUUAACAGGACACCACUGUGUCAUGGUGUGACUUUGAUAAGCUGCCAUCUUACUAUGGAAAAGGUGAAAUUAUCUAAUGCCAUUGCGAUUAUAGAUGACACGAAUUUUUGUCGAUUGUGAUAUGUCUUACUCAGCCAUGGUUUGAUAAGAAUGGAAAUGCUUAUAUUAGAGUGUAUUUACAUCUGUUGAUCUGUUCCUAUUCAGUGUCUGGUUUUGAUUAGAAAAAUGGCAAACUUGGAUAUCAUAAUCUAUGAUUUAAGUUUUAUAUUUUAGAUUUCAAGGUUUUCACUUCUUUUCCUCCUUUUCUUUUCAAAUCCAAAAUAUGCCAACUUGUUAAUUGGUCUGUCAGUACAUAUAUGUGGUUUGAGAAUUCACUCAAAUGCUAAUUGACUGCUACAGUCUUACUUGCUGCAUGUCUGGUGUGAUAAGUUUUACAUAUUGAAGUAUCUUAUUUGGAUUAUUUAAAUCCUAUAAUAAGUUGAUUUCGCUUGUAAUUUCAUUAGACUUUUCAUACCAAUGUUUUAAUUGCUGUUUCAAACCUUAGAGAAUUUUAGCAGCAUACAAAUAUUUUGUGGUUGUUGAUAUGAAAAAUUUAUAUUGUUCUUCUUGAUGAAUUUGGUUGUGGUAUUUAUUUAUUUAUUUCCAUUCUGGAGGCUGUUUGAUAGUUUUGUCUAGUGGCAUAAGUGACAGAUCCAUAAAUUGGUGUGGACUUUCCAAUUUGUUCUAUCUACACUUUUUAUUUCAAAUAUCUAACUUAUGUCUUUACCAUCUUAUCGUCAAAAUGUCAUUUAAGUGUCAUGUUAGAUUUGAGCCAAUUCAUUAUGAAGUCAUGUCUAUUGAAUGAGCUUUAUAUCUUUCAGUUUGCAGAAAACAAAAAUAUGGAAAAUCAUAGCUUUAUUUUUGAGUUUUAACUUAGGCAAUAAUUUUUGGUAUCAUCACUUUGUAGGAAACUUAACAGGCAUUUGUUAUGUACAACCUGUAAAAUUCUUGACUUCAUUUUAUAGGGGAUUUUGUUUAUUUUCACUUAUAAAGGCCUUUUUGUCAAGUUAUGACUUGAAAUUCAUGGUAAUUUGAUUAUUGGAAGAAAUUCAAAAAAUGAUAAAAAGGGAGGGAGUUUGUGGCACAAUGUAACUCUUCUGCCCGCAGAUGACUUAAAAUUAUUACUAGAUCUAGAGUAGUUGCUUAAGCCUGAACAGAUCAGAAGUCUUCUGCCUCUCUAUCUCUCUUGGCUCUAGCAUAAUAGUCAAUUUACAAAAAUGCAUACUAAAUGAGAAAUUUGGAAUAUACUAUUUUUCCUCCUUAUUCUAUGCGUGAAGUUUUCCAUUUAUGAAGAAUCCAUUUUCCAACCUGCAGAAGUUUAGAACCAGUUGCAAGUUACAAAAUUUAUUUAUUAUUUACUUUUAGUUUAGAACAUUCAAACUCAUGUUCAUAUUUAGCAUAGAAAGAGUGAAAAUAGUCUCUGCAAUGUAGGGUUUGAAGCUUGGUCGCAGUUCCACUUUUGUGAAAGCCCAGUUGAAUGAGGUAAGUUUCUUUCAGUGGUUUUCAUUAGAGGAUAUCUUUUCAAAUUUUUGUUCCUGUCUGGACAUGCUUUUGCGGUCAUUUGCCUCCUUCAAGGUUGCUGUGGAUGGAUCCUCAAAUGCUGCUGCCUCACCUCUAACCAAAUCAGAAGUACCGUCACAGGAAGCAAAGGAUGCUAAGCCAUCAAAUGAGCCUGCACCUCCAACUUUGGCUACAGAGGAGUCAAUAUCUGAAUUUAUUACACAAGUUUUAAGCCUUGUGAAGCUGGUUGAUUCAAGAGAUAUUGUGGAGUUGCAGUUAAAACAACUUGAUUGUGAACUGAUAAUCCGGAAAAAGGAGGCCUUGCCUCAGCCACCAUCUCCUGCUUCAGUGGUUAUGAUGCACUCACCUUCACCUUCACCAUCACAACUAAUGCCACCAGCCCCACCUGCGGCUUCCUCUACAGCCUCUAGUCCAGCUUCCACUGCUCCACCCCCAUCACCUGUACCUUCUGCUGCUAAAUCACUCAAGUCAUCACUUCCACCGUUUAAAUGCCCUAUGGCUGGCACAUUCUACAGAAGUCCAGCACCAGGUGAACCACCUUUGGUGACGGUUGGAGACAAAGUGCAGAAGGGACAAGUCUUAUGCAUCAUUGAGGCCAUGAAAUUGAUGAAUGAAAUAGAAGCUGAUCAGUCAGGGACCAUUAUCGAAAUUGUAGCAGAAGAUGGGAAGCCAGUCAGUGUCGACACGCCUCUGUUUGUGAUUGAACCUUAAAAGCACGCCGGUUGAGUAGACAAGUACUAGGUAAACAUUACUUGGCGAGUGCCGUUCUUGGUAAUGUUGAGAGAUGCGGCAUUGUUAUUGUAUUUGCAUGUUUUGUUUGGGAAGAGUUGUUAUGAGGGAAAACAUUAAUGAUUCUAAUAUGAGAAUUUUGUUUUUGAAAUUUAUUACUACAACUAAGAAAUAGCUUAUUUUUCCAUAUUUAGAUAGUCUGUCUAAUAAAUCGGUUGUUAGUUGCUAGUUAUAUUAGUAAAAGGUAAUUUACCUAAUGGGGUUACUCUAUUUGAAGAUACGCAAACUAUCUAAUUAGCAAUUGAAUUAUAGUUUAUUGAUUGAGUAAUUUAAAUCUGUGCUUGUUAAAUUGCAGUUUUGUG